rnacentral:tRNA from 1 species
GCACAGGUGGCCGAGUGGUUAAUGGCAGCAGACUGUAAAUCUGCCGGGUUAUGCCCUACGGAGGUUCGAACCCUCCCCUGUGCACCA